AUGAAAUGCAGCUGGAUCAUCCUCUUCUUGAUGGCACUAACUACAGGGGUCAACUCAGAAGUCCAGAUACAGCAGUCUGGGGCUGAGCUUGCGAAACCUGGGACCUCAGUCAAGUUGUCUUGCAAGGUUUCUGGCUUUAACAUUGGGAACACCUACAUGCACUGGGUGAAUCAGAAGCCUGGAAAGGGCCUGGAAUGGAUAGGAAGAAUUGAUCCUGCAAAUGGAAAUACUAAAUAUGCUGAGAAGUUCAAAAGCAAGGCCACACUGACUGCAGAUACAUCGUCCAACACAGCCUACAUGCAACUCAGCCAACUGACAUCUGAGGACACAGCAAUCUAUUUUUGUGCUAUGCACUGUGUUGAAUCCCCAUCCAGAGUGUGUCAGAAACCCCAGAGGAGCAAGCAGUUGCCCUGUGAUUGA